AAACCGCACCCACAGCCACAGGCAGUGGGCCAGAGGUGACCCACUAGCCACAGCCGGCCGACCCUGCUCCAGUACAAUCCCUUCUUUUUAUAGCUUCAGAAGUUGAGACCAAGGAGAGGAAAAGGCAGUCAAGCCCCCCAAGUACUCACUGCUGGGCACGAGUUUCUGUUACACGGAGCCUCAGAAAAUGAACAAUAAAAACGACUUCAGCCGUGAUUGUACUCAAGUAUGGAGCAGUAAAGAAAAGCAAGGUCA
rnacentral:lncRNA from 10 species